rnacentral:tRNA from 2 species
GCACUCAUAGCUCAGCAGGAUAGAGCGUCGGUUUCCUAAACCGCAGGCCGGAGGUUCGAAUCCUCUUGAGUGCACCA